GGUCUGUAACUGACGCUGAGGCUCGAAAGCGUGGGGAGCAANCAGGAUUAGAUACCCUGGUAGUCCACGCCGUAAACGAUGAGUGCUAGGUGUUAGGCCCUUUCCGGGGCUUAGUGCCGCAGCUAACGCAUUAAGCACUCCGCCUGGGGAGUACGACCGCAAGGUUGAAACUCAAAGGAAUUGACGGGGGCCCGCACAAGCGGUGGAGCAUGUGGUUUAAUUCGAAGCAACGCGAAGAACCUUACCAGGUCUUGACAUCCCUCUGACCGCUCUAGAGAUAGAGUUUUCCUUCGGGACAGAGGUGACAGGUGGUGCAUGGUUGUCGUCAGCUCGUGUCGUGAGAUGUUGGGCUAAGUCCCGCAACGAGCGCAACCCCUAUUGUUAGUUGCCAUCAUUGAGUUGGGCACUCUAGCGAGACUGCCGGUAAUAAACCGGAGGAAGGUGGGGAUGACGUCAAAUCAUCAUGCCCCUUAUGACCUGGGCUACACACGUGCUACAAUGGCUGGUACAACGAGUCGCAAGCCGGUGACGGCAAGCUAAUCUCUGAAAGCCAGUCUCAGUUCGGAUUGUAGGCUGCAACUCGCCUACAUGAAGUCGGAAUCGCUAGUAAUCGCGGAUCAGCACGCCGCGGUGAAUACGUUCCCGGGCCUUGUACACACCGCCCGUCACACCACGAGAGUUCGUAACACCCGAAGUCGGUG
rnacentral:rRNA from 1 species